ensembl:lncRNA
CUUUUUUUUUUCUUUUCUUUUUUUUUCAUGUUCUAGAUUAUUCCUAAAUUCUUGUAUUGGUUCUAUCCUAGUCUUCCUGAAUAUAUCUUCUGAAGUCCUCCAAGCAACACAACAUCAAACGUACACUUUUCAGUAAUGUACUGACUCUUACUUCAAAGCAACUAAUCUUUGCUUAUGAGAGAGUCCAUCCAGCCACAGAAGAAAUUUGAUGAGUGGAAAGCCAGAAAGAAAUCUGCUGGUAUUGCAGUAAGCUGGUCCUGCGGAGAUGAACGGUAUUCCUUGUCCUCAAGGCACAGCAAAUGAAACAAGCUGCUCCUCUCUCCAGCUGGGAGUUGCUGAAGGUUAAGCUUAUUAAGUCUGGAGACCUGCUGAGAAGGGAAUGAAGAGCUCACCCAAAGGCAAAAAGUCAGAAAAUGUUUCUUGGGAGAAGAAAGCCAAGGGGAGGAGAGAAUGGCAGGCUACACCCUGCUCUGCUAACGCUGGCAAAACAACGUCAGCAUCCUCUUCUAGGACUGUGUUGUUGGCUGCAGGAGUCUCCAGUCCAGACACUGCACUGUACAAAACAAAUAUCGAAUAUCGAAUAAAAGGUGGAAAUACAUCCCAGGCAACCAAAGAAUUUCCUCCUAGACCUGAUUAGUCUUAUCAGAAAGCUAAUGAUGAUGCCUCUCUGUCUGAUACAUAGGAUGAAAUUACUUAAGUGAGCAGAUAGGAGUAACCAUUUUGGACGUGUGAAGCAAAGAAUGCAUUGUAAUCCAAUGUGUUCCAAGAAGCUGGCAUUCCUGAGGUAGGAAUUUAUCUGCCAUUAUG